GGUUACUGCUAUCGGUGUUCGCCUAAGCCAUGCGAGUCAUAUGUUCGUAAGAACAUGGCGUACUGCUCAGUAACACGUGGAUAACCUGCCCUUGGGUCCGGCAUAACCCCGGGAAACUGGGGAUAAUUCCGGAUAACGCACAUAUGCUGGAAUGCUUUUUGCGUAAAAUGGAUUCGUCUGCCCAAGGAUGGGUCUGCGGCCUAUCAGGUAGUAGUGGGUGUAAUGUACCUACUAGCCUACGACGGGUACGGGUUGUGAGAGCAAGAGCCCGGAGAUGGAUUCUGAGACAUGAAUCCAGGCCCUACGGGGCGCAGCAGGCGCGAAAACUUUACAAUGCGGGAAACCGUGAUAAGGGGACACCGAGUGCCAGCAUCCUAUGCUGGCUGUCCGGGUGUGUAAAAUACACCUGUUAGCAAGGGCCGGGCAAGACCGGUGCCAGCCGCCGCGGUAACACCGGCGGCCCGAGUGGUGAUCGUGAUUAUUGGGUCUAAAGGGUCCGUAGCCGGUUUGGUCAGUCCUCCGGGAAAUCUGACGGCUUAACCGUUAGGCUUUCGGGGGAUACUGCCAGACUUGGAACCGGGAGAGGUAAGAGGUACUACAGGGGUAGGAGUGAAAUCUUGUAAUCCCUGUGGGACCACCUGUGGCGAAGGCGUCUUACCAGAACGGGUUCGACGGUGAGGGACGAAAGCUGGGGGCACGAACCGGAUUAGAUACCCGGGUAGUCCCAGCCGUAAACGAUGCUCGCUAGGUGUCAGGCAUGGCGCGACCGUGUCUGGUGCCGCAGGGAAGCCGUGAAGCGGGCCACCUGGGAAGUACGGCCGCAAGGCUGAAACUUAA
rnacentral:rRNA from 1 species